rnacentral:rRNA from 1 species
UACAGAGGGGGCAAGCGUUGUUCGGAAUUACUGGGCGUAAAGCGCGCGUAGGCGGCUUUGUAAGUUAGAGGUGAAAGCCCGGAGCUCAACUCCGGAACUGCCUUUAAAACUGCAUCGCUUGAAUCCAGGAGAGGUGAGUGGAAUUCCGAGUGUAGAGGUGGAAUUCGUAGAUAUUCGGAAGAACACCAGUGGCGAAGGCGGCUCACUGGACUGGUAUUGACGCUGAGGUGGCGAAAGCGUGGGGAGCAAAC